CGCGGAGGAGAGACGCGCGCGGCGCGCCAUGGCCGCCACGCUGCCGGAGGUCGUGGAGGAGCUCCUGAGCGAGAUGGCCGCCGCCGUGCGGGACGGCGCGAGAAUUCCUGAUGAACACCUGUCAUCGCUGAAGUUUGUGUUUGGGUCGUCGGCCAUCCAGGCCUUGGACUUAGUUGAUCGAGAGUCUGUCACUUUAAUCUCGUCACCCAGUGGAAGACGUGUUUACCAGGUGCUUGGGAGUUCUGGCAAAACCUACACAUGCCUGGCUUCGUGCCACUACUGCUCAUGCCCAGCGUUUGCCUUCUCGGUGUUAAGGAAGGGCGACAGUCUGCUGUGCAAGCAUCUCCUGGCAGUUUAUCUUAGUCGGGUUAUGAGAAACUGCCAGCAGCUCAGUGUGUCAGACAAGCAACUGACAGACCUGUUAUUGAUGGAGAAGACACAAGAAGCAUAAAAGAUGCAGAUGGAACAUCGUCUUUCAAGACAGAAGCCUAUCAGGAAAUUCGCUCAACAUCUCAUGGCUCACAAGGCGGAGGAAUAAGAUACACUUCGGACUGGUUACUGUCACUUCGCCCUCACUGUAGGCUGCAGAGGGCUCAUGAGUGGUUCAGAGCCCUCCCUUUAUGAUCUUAACACGAACCAGCCUCUGAGCGCCACAGGCGCAGGCUGGGACCACGGAAGUGGGAGCUGAGAAGGAAGGAGAGGAACUCUGAGGAAGUGAAGGACAGACUGGAACACUCGAGCUGGGCACUUUGGGAGCUGCCGGUUACCAUUCAGACAUGGCCAAGUCCAACAACCACGCCACACACAACCAGUCCUGAGAACGGCACAGAAGCGGCACUAAGAAACCCCGGUCACAAAGAUGACGCGAACCUCUGGGGAACAGACGUUUUGCCAAGAAGCCAAGAAAGGCCUGAGGAAGACGCAGGCCAGCGAUGUGAAGGCAGUGGGUGAAGGCAGUGGGUGAAGAAGGCAGUGGGUGAAGGCAGUGGGUGCGUGCAGAGGCCGUCAGAGCCCCUGUGAAGCCCAAGGCAGCUAAGCCCAAGCUGCCAACGGGCCCAGGCUGCGAGCUCAGCCGUCUUGCUUUCUUCGCUCACCCCGAGCUGGGGAAGUGGAUUAGAAGCUGCAUGGCCAAGGGUCACAGGCUCUGCCAACCAAAGCCCAAGGUUCAAAUCAAGGCAGAGGCCUCCGCUCCAGCUCAGGCCCAGGCCCAAGCCUCAGCUGCAGCUCAGGCUCCCAAAGGUGCCCAGGCCCCUGUGAAGGCCCCAUAGAAAAGGUUUCUCUCUGCCAAUGUGAAGACAAAUGGACUGGUAUGACACACCUACACACUGUUUGCAGAUGAUCAGUGGCCUAUGUUGUUUUUACAAAUAAACUUGA